rnacentral:rRNA from 1 species
UACGUAGGGUGCGAGCGUUGUCCGGAAUUAUUGGGCGUAAAGAGCUUGUAGGCGGUUUGUCGCGUCUGCUGUGAAAAUCCGGGGCUCAACCCCGGACUUGCAGUGGGUACGGGCAGACUAGAGUGUGGUAGGGGAGACUGGAAUUCCUGGUGUAGCGGUGAAACGCGCAGAUAUCAGGAGGAACACCAAUGGCGAAGGCAGGUCUCUGGGCAGUUACUGACGCUGAGGAGCGAAAGCAUGGGUAGCGAACAGGAUUAGAUACCCU